GAUGAACGCUGGCGGCGUGCCUAAUACAUGCAAGUCGAGCGAACAGACGAGGAGCUUGCUCCUCUAACGUUAGCGGCGGACGGGUGAGUAACACGUGGAUAACCUACCUAUAAGACUGGGAUAACUUCGGGAAACCGGAGCUAAUACCGGAUAAUAUAUUGAACCGCAUGGUUCAAUAGUGAAAGACGGUUUUGCUGUCACUUAUAGAUGGAUCCGCGCCGCAUUAGCUAGUUGGUAAGGUAACAGCUUACCAAGGCAACGAUGCGUAGCCGACCUGAGAGGGUGAUCGGCCACACGGGAACUGAGCCACGGUCCAGACUCCUACGGGAGGCAGCAGUAGGGAAUCUUCCGCAAUGGGCGAAAGCCUGACGGAGCAACGCCGCGUGAGUGAUGAAGGUCUUCGGAUCGUAAAACUCUGUUAUUAGGGAAGAACAAAUGUGUAAGUAACUAUGCACGUCUUGACGGUACCUAAUCAGAAAGCCACGGCUAACUACGUG
rnacentral:rRNA from 1 species